rnacentral:lncRNA from 1 species
GUGUGUCAGGCACUGUUCUAAGGGUUUUACUCGUAUUAACUCAUUUAAUCCUUAUAAUAGCUCUGAGAUGGAUUUAUUGUUCUCCCUGUUUUACAUAUUAGGAAACUGAAGCAUGGGAUGGUACAAGAACUUGCCACAGUGUUAAAUGGGAACCAGGAGUCAAACCCAGGAAAUCUAGCACCAGUCACUAAGCUAGAAAACCUGCAAUCUUUCGUCUGUCAAACCCUGGUUAAUAAUGCCCUAACUUAUUUACUAGUAUUGUUCUGAAGCAAUACACUUCAAAAUAAGCAAAUAUUGUCCUUAUUUAAUUUAAAAACAAGUGCUAAUAGCUAAAACUUAAGCACAUAUAUAUUCUAAGAAAAUACAUUAGUCAUUGUCCUUGUUUUUGAUACUUAAUCAUAUUGUAGCAGAGCAUAUAUUGAAUACAACUGACUUUCAUGAAUUAAAUCACCACUAUACUGCUUUUUUAGAUAGUACUGCUAGUUAUAAACAUUCUAUUGGUAAUUCUGUACUAUCAGUAAUUCUGUAAUCUCAAACAUGAAAGAUCACAAAAAAAGACAAGGAAAUUGAACAAAUACUGCAAAUUCCUAAAGGCUUGGGGUCAGAUGGGAACUUCAGAGAUUUAGCCUAAGUGAUUUUUUUACACACCAAAUCCUUUCUCCACCAUGUGAAGUCUUUGUGAAAUUCUACCCUGUAAAACAAUUCAAAGCAGCUGCUUUGGCUGAAGGCAGAAAAGGAGCCCAAGAGCUCUACCCAUCAAACUUCCUCCAAGGACCUUGAAACUAAGCAAAAUUCUGGAGUUCCAACAAAACAUGAAGACUAUUGACCACACAACACAACGUAGGCCUUCUCCCACAGUAUCCUGAAGGAACUUCAUCCAAAAUCAAACAAUCUUCAUUGACAUGAAACCUUCUAAAGGCAGCACAUUUCACCUGAUAGCCAAAAUUCACAAUCCUUUUAAAACCUCAUUAGUAAGUCCUGGUUCCCUCUCCCAGUACCACAAAAAUGAAAAUGAACAAACAAAAAGCAAGCCUGUUUCCACUACAUGACAGUGUUCUAAUAAAGAUCUCUCAGUAAAAUACUUUUAUGAUCUGAUUUUCAAGUAUCUCACCUUCCUGGAUUGCUCUCUCCCUUCCCCUUUAAUUUAUCAGAGCAUGGGGUUCAAAAUUAGGUAAAGUUUCCUGCUCUCCAGGGUACCCAAACUGGUAGUUUACAUUUUCUAGGCAAAGUUAUAAAAUGAAGUCACACUUCAUACAUACAUGAGCUUGAAAAACAAACAUUUCUGAUGCAUGAGGAAGAAAGUUUGUGUGUUUGUUAUUAUUCUCUUAUGCCUCCCUCCCUGUUUAGAGACAAUUAAUUUUGUUUAGGAACAUUUUUUAGUAACUCAAAACAUCCGCUAGUAUCAACAAUACCUCAUAUGAUGGUUUCUAUACUUAUUAUGUUCAUAGUUAUUAUCUAAGCCCCAUUCCAUGUGUAAGACAUGGUGCUAAAGGAUAGAAAUAUACUGGUGAAAAAGCAGAGACUGUCCUUGUCCUCAUGGAGCUCACAGUCUACUGGAAAGGAAGACAGUAAAACAAGAAAUUACAACAGAGUGUGGUUCACAUUAAUGUUGAAGAUGCUACAGAAACAGAGAAAGGCAGAUCAAUCCAGUCUUGGGGUGUCAGGGAAAGUGUUUAAUAUUUAUAGCAACUAAUCUUAAAUGUUAUUCUUUGACAAUCCAAUUAUAUAUUUC